GCCCCCAUAGCUCAAUGGAUAGAGCUGAGGACUUCUAAGCCUAUGAUAGUUGUUCGAUUCAACUUGGGGGUACCA
rnacentral:tRNA from 1 species